GUCUGGGGAAGGAGGUCGGGGCCAUGGGCGCGGGCACCACGGGGUCCGACGACGCCGAGGCGCUGGACGCAGUGCUGGGCACGCUGCUGGCCGUACUGGUGCUGGUGGUGGUCAAGGCGGCCGUGGACGUGCUGCGGCGGCGGCGAGCGCACGCGACCGUCCUGGUGGUGGGCGCGGGGCCGGUGGGGCUGACCGCGGCGCUCGUCGCUGUCCGCUCGGGCCGGGUGCUGAAGCUGACCGUGCUGGACGCGUGCGCGCGGGGUCCGCUGCUGGGGCGCACGCAGCAGAUUGCGCUGGACCCCCGCAGCGUCCGCUUCCUCCAGCCGCUGGGAGUGGACUUCGACAACAUGGAAGGCUGCUGGCGCAAUGGCCACUUCUUCACCCGGGUCGGCGUCUUCCAGGAGCACCUGCUCAGCCUCCUGGAGAGGAAGGGCCAGCGGCCUGGCUUUCGUCUUAUCCUGGGCACCAAGUUUACAGAUGACUUCAUGAGAAAGGUGGUAGUGCCAGACUGGCCCAAAAUCAUUGUGGUGGCUGAUGGCUCCCAUGGGGAGACCUGCUCUGUUCUGGGGCUCAGUCCAGAUUAUGUAGUGGAAUCCUGCAAUGCUUAUGGAGCUAACGCCACCAUCACGAGACUGGACCAGAGACAGAAUGGCUGCCCCCGAGUCAUGUAGGUUUGCGUCUGGGAACUGAACCUGGGCCGCUGAAGAGGAGCAUGCUGAACUUCACCACCAGGCCAGAGGGCCGGCUCAAGGACAGUUGUUUUUAAUUCCUCAAAGAAUUGGUUUGUAAACUGAAUGAUAUCGUAUCAAGACUCUGACCCAACCAUCCAACUACAGUAUCCUCAAUUUGCUUCUUUAUGUCAGGGAAAAGAUCUUCAACUAAAAAGGAAAUCAAAAGAUCCCUAUAGUCUAGAUUUAGAGCUGUGUUCCUUUGAAAGGUUUUAGUAAAUCCUUCCACAGCAGCUUCAGAAUGUUUUUCAUUCCCUCAGGGUAAGUAGUUUCAUUUUAGCUUAGGGGAGAAGGCCUAAGAAAAUGUUCCUAUCAGGCUCUGAACAUCAGCCUCCAAUUUGGCCAACUUCUGACUGAGGGGGGGCAGAAUAUGCCACCCCAGAAUGUGCCACUUUGGCAUAUGGGUUAUUCUGAGCUGAAGACAAUCAGGGCCCAGCAGACUCAGGAAGAGCUUUUAACCUCCCCCUUAACUGCCUUGAAGAAUUUAGAUAGGAGGCCUAUACCAGGAAGUGGGCCUGUACCAGGAAGAAAGAUUAUUACUGGAGAUAACUUUUUAUAUCAGAAAGACUUAUCUGCAUGGCG
rnacentral:lncRNA from 1 species